rnacentral:rRNA from 1 species
UAUCACUAAGCGGAGGAAAAGAAACUAACAAGGAUUCCCCUAGUAACUGCGAGUGAACAGGGAUUAGCCCAGCACCGAAGCCUGUGGUUAUUUGACUGCAAGGCAAUGUGGUGUUUAGGUUUGUUCUUGGCAUUACUGCUCUGCCCCAAGUCCAGCAAUGAGUACGGCAUACCGUUCUGGCCCAUAGAGGGUGAAAGGCCCGUGGGGGUAGAGACCAAGCAUGACAGUUUUGUCCAGAGCUUACCUUGGAGUCGGGUUGUUUGAGAAUGCAGCCCAAAGUGGGUGGUAAACUCCAUCCAAGGCUAAAUACUUGCACGAGUCCGAUAGUAAACAAGUACCGUGAGGGAAAGUUGAAAAGUACUUUGAAGAGAGAGUAAACAGUGCGUGAAACCGCUCAGAGGUAAACGGGUGGAGUUGAACUGCGAUCCUUGGGAAUUCAGCUGAUGAGCAUGAUUUGUGCUUGGGCAUAUUGACCGCCUUUCAGUGUCUGCUUAGCUGCGGGUGCCUGCCUCUGGUGGGUAUGUGUGGUGCGCUUAUCAUGUGCCGCACGCAUUGGAGGGUGUAUGAGUCUGCUUGUCGGUGCACUUUCUCAGGGUGUUCACCACGACCGGCACUGCUGUCUGUCUGCUUUGGUCAAACUGAUCAGGUCUGAUUAACGUUGGGCUUGGUUGGGUUGGCAGGUGACUCACUGGUCCAUUCUGUGGGCUAUGAGUGUUACUAGCCGGCCUUAGUGGAUCUGUACGGUGUGUCGGAGACGGCGGCUUUGCAUAUGCGCUCUGUCCUUCAGGCGUGGUUGAGUCUGGUCGACUUGUUGCUAGUUUCGGCUGGUCAGUUGAUGGCUUGAUCAUGUUCAGUUGGCAGUGGUGUGUGUGUCUUAGUUUGGGCCAAUAGUCUGUGGUGUUGUGGUAGACUAUCCACCUGACCCGUCUUGAAACACGGACCAAGGAGUUUAACAUGUGCGCGAGUCAUUGGGCUUUACGAAACCCAAAGGCGCAGUGAAGGUAAAGGCUUGGCUUGUCCAGGCUGAGGUGAGAUCCUGUUGUUUUGCUCAUUCAUUCCAAGCUGCGAGCAGCAGGCGCAUCACCGGCCCGUCCCAUGACGUAGACAUGUGGCCUUGUGCUAUGUGCACCGUCGGGGCGGAGCAAGAGCGUACAUGUUGAGACCCGAAAGAUGGUGAACUAUGCUUGCGAAGGUUGAAGCCAGAGGAAACUCUGGUGGAGGACCGUAGCGAUUCUGACGUGCAAAUCGAUCGUAUAACGUGAGUAUAGGGGCGAAAGACUAAUCGAACCAUCUAGUAGCUGGUUCCCUC